UGGGGAAUAUUGCACAAUGGGCGAAAGCCUGAUCCAGCCAUGCCGCGUGCGGGAAGAAGGCCUUCGGGUUGUAAACCGCUUUUGUCAGGGAAGAAAUCUUCUGAGUUAAUACCUCGGGAGGAUGACGGUACCUGAAGAAUAAGCACCGGCUAACUACGUGCCAGCAGCCGCGGUAAUACGUAGGGUGCAAGCGUUAAUCGGAAUUACUGGGCGUAAAGCGUGCGCAGGCGGUUUUGUAAGACAGAGGUGAAAUCCCCGGCUCAACCUGGGAACUGCUUUGUGACUGCAAGGCUUGAGUGCGGCAGAGGGGGAUGGAAUUCCGCGUGUAGCAGUGAAAUGCGUAGAUAUGCGGAGGAACACCGAUGGCGAAGGCAAUCCCCUGGGCCUGCACUGACGCUCAUGCACGAAAGCGUGGGGAGCAAACAGGAUUAGAUACCCUGGUAGUCCACGCCCUAAACGAUGUCAACUGGUUGUUGGGAAGGUUCCUUCUCAGUAACGUAGCUAACGCGUGAAGUUGACCGCCUGGGGAGUACGGCCGCAAGGUUGAAACUUAAAUGAAUUGACGGGGU
rnacentral:rRNA from 1 species